AGAGAGAGAGAGUGAAAGGGCCCGAGAGACAGAGUAUUGGUGGUGGUGGAGUUAAAAGACUACAAUUGACCAGUUCUUAAAGGGACAAACUCCAUGCUGGUCUGGGGAUGUCAGUUCAGGUCACAUGAUGCAGGGAUGUACUUAAUUGACUGUGGGGAACCCGAACCGUUGCUGAAUGGAGGGGUGACGUUCAUAUCUAGCUCUCAGAACCAGCAUCUCUCAGUCAUUUAGUACCACUGCAAUGAGCUGUACUACACUCUCUCUAAAAGAGUUAAUGUGUGUGGACUUCUUACAGUGAACCACCCAGGGAUUGUAAGGAUUGUUGGGGGAAAGCCAGCACCAGCUGGAUGCUUCCCCUGGCAGGUGUUGC
ensembl:lncRNA